rnacentral:rRNA from 1 species
GUGUGCAGGUGGUGCAUGGCUGUCGUCAGCUCGUGUCGUGAGAUGUUGGGUUAAGUCCCGCAACGAGCGCAACCCUUGUCUCAUGUUGCCAGCACGUAAUGGUGGGGACUCGUGAGAGACUGCCGGGGUCAACUCGGAGGAAGGUGGGGAUGACGUCAAGUCAUCAUGCCCCUUAUGUCCAGGGCUUCACACAUGCUACAAUGGCCGGUGCAAAGGGCUGCGAUGCCGCGAGGUUAAGCGAAUCCUUUAACGCCGGUCUCAGUUCGGAUCGGGGUCUGCAACUCGACCCCGUGAAGUCGGAGUCGCUAGUAAUCGCAGAUCAGCAACGCUGCGGUGAAUACGUUCCCGGGCCUUGUACACACCGCCCGUCACGUCAUGAAAGUCGGUAACACCCGAAGCCAGUGGCCUAACCCUUUGGGAGGGAGCUGUCGAAGGUGGGAUCGGCGAUUG